rnacentral:lncRNA from 1 species
GCUUCAGACUCCACCAUCUCCAUCGACUGCGCACAUUCAAUUUAAAGAAUUCCAGGAGGUGCAGGGGUGACGUUCUCCUCCUUGAAGACGGCAAUACAUUAAACAACAGAUUCUGCGGCAACCUUGGAACUCUCAGUGAAGGAGGCGACACUGACCUUUUGAAUAUUGUUUUCAAGACAAACAGAAGAGGAAAAGCUCAAGGUUUCUCCUGUGUUGUGUCCCCUCUGGCAAGGUUCAGACCAUCACCCAAGUCACUACUGACGUCACUGACAUCUCCGUCGACAACGGUCAAUGCU